GCGCGCGCCGGAGAUGGCAUUCUCCUUAACCGCCCUCGUGGCUGAUGAUGCCUGCUUCGCC
rnacentral:ncRNA from 22 species